GCACGUAGAAGAACUGAAGUUUGAAGAACCGUGUGAGGAGUGGGCGAUUGUUCUCCAGCCGCCUGGCAAGAAGAAGAUGUAGAGACAGGGUUUCAAUGUGUUAGCCAGGCUGGUCUUGAACUCCUCACCUCGUGAUCCACCCGCGUCGGCCUCCCAAAGUGCUGGGAUCACAGGCGUGAGCCACCGCGCCCGGCUACUAUGGAAACUUUCAAACAUACCCCAAAUUAAAAGAAUCGUGGGCUCUGA